rnacentral:rRNA from 1 species
UACAGAGGUCUCAAGCGUUGUUCGGAUUCAUUGGGCGUAAAGGGUGCGUAGGUGGCGCCGUAGGUCGGGUGUGAAAUUUCGGAGCUUAACUCCGAAACUGCAUUCGAUACUGCGGUGCUUGAGGACUGGAGAGGAGACUGGAAUUCAUGGUGUAGCGGUGAAAUGCGCAGAUAUCAGGAAGAACACCCGUGGCGAAGGCGGCUCUCUGGAACGCAACUGACGCUGAGACGCGAAAGCGUGGGGAGCGAACAGG